rnacentral:rRNA from 1 species
UGUCAGUGGGCAUCCAUUGACAUUGGAAGCUGGGGACUGUAAGAGGCCUGGCACUUCACGAUGAGCCCGCGGCCUAUCAGCUAGUUGGUGAGGUAACGGCUCACCAAGGCAAAGACGGGUAGCUGGUCUGAGAGGACGACCAGCCACACUGGAACUGAGACACGGUCCAGACACCUACGGGUGGCAGCAGUCGAGAAUUUUUCACAAUGGGCGCAAGCCUGAUGGAGCGACGCCGCGUGGGGGAUGAAGGGUUUCGAUCCGUAAACCCCUGUCAUUUGCGAACAAACCUUAUGCAAUAACACUGCAUGAGCUGAUUGUAGCGAAAGAGGAAGGGACGGCUAACUCUGUGCCAGCAGCCGCGGUAAUACAGAGGUCCCAAGCGUUGUUCGGAUUCACUGGGCGUAAAGGGUGCGUAGGUGGCCAGGUAAGUUUGGUGUGAAAGCUCGGAGCUUAACUCCGAAAAGUCAUUGAAUACUAUCUGGCUGGAGGGUCGGAGGGGAGACUGGAAUUCUCGGUGUAGCAGUGAAAUGCGUAGAUAUCGAGAGGAACACCAGUGGCGAAGGCGAGUCUCUGGACGACUCCUGACACUGAGGCACGAAAGCUAGGGGAGCAAACAGGAUUAGAUACCCUGGUAGUCC